AUUGAACGCUGGCGGCAUGCUUUACACAUGCAAGUCGAACGGUAACAGGCCGCAAGGUGCUGACGAGUGGCGAACGGGUGAGUAAUGUAUCGGAACGUGCCCAGUCGUGGGGGAUAACGCAGCGAAAGCUGUGCUAAUACCGCAUACGAUCUAUGGAUGAAAGCGGGGGACCGUAAGGCCUCGCGCGAUUGGAGCGGCCGAUAUCAGAUUAGGUAGUUGGUGGGGUAAAGGCCUACCAAGCCGACGAUCUGUAGCUGGCCUGAGAGGACGACCAGCCACACUGGGACUGAGACACGGCCCAGACUCCUACGGGAGGCAGCAGUGGGGAAUUUUGGACAAUGGGCGCAAGCCUGAUCCAGCAAUGCCGCGUGCAGGACGAAGG
rnacentral:rRNA from 1 species